CACGUAGGGUGCGAGCGUUGUCCGGAAUUAUUGGGCGUAAAGAGCUCGUAGGCGGUGUGUCGCGUCGGCCGUGAAAACCUGCAGCUUAACUGUGGGCUUGCGGUCGAUACGGGCAUCACUGGAGUUCGGCAGGGGAGGACUGGAAUUCCUGGUGUAGCGGUGGAAUGCGCAGAUAUCAGGAGGAACACCAGCGGCGAAGGCGGCGCUCUGGGCCGGAACUGACGCUGAGGAGCGAAAGCGUGGGGAGCAAACAGG
rnacentral:rRNA from 1 species